CCUACGGGUGGCAGCAGUCGAGAAUCAUUCACAAUGGGGGAAACCCUGAUGGUGCGACGCCGCGUGGGGGAAUGAAGGUCUUCGGAUUGUAACCCCCUGUCAUGUGGGAGCAAAUUAAAAAGAUAGUACAACAAGAGGAAGAGACGGAUAACUCUGUGCCCGCAGCCGCGGUAAUACAGAGGUCUCAAGCGUUGUUCGGUAUCACUGGGCGUAAAGCGUGCGUAGGCUGUUUCGUAAGUCGUGUGUGAAGGGCGCGGGCUAAACCUGCGGACGGCACACUAUACUGUGAGACUAGAGUAAGUGAGGGGGAACCGGAAUUCUCGGUGUAGGAGUGAAAUGCGUAGAUAUCGGGAGGAACACUCGUGGCGUAGGCGGGUUCCUGGACAGUAACUGACGCUGAGGCACGAAGGCCAGGGGAGCGAAAGGGAUUAGAUACCCUUGUAGUC
rnacentral:rRNA from 1 species